GAUGAACGCUAGCGACAGGCCUAACACAUGCAAGUCGAGGGGCAGCAUGAAAGUAGCUUGCUACUUUUGAUGGCGACCGGCGCACGGGUGCGUAACAGGUGUGCAAUCUGUCCAUAAUCGGGGAAUAGCCCAGCGAAAGUUGGAUUAAUGCUCCAUGUGAGUUUUAGAAGCAUCUCUUUAAUUUGAAACGCAAGGAUUAUGGGUGAGCACGCUUCUGAUUAGGUAGUUGGUGAGGUAACGGCUCACCAAGCCGACGAUCAGUAGGGGUUCUGAGAGGAAGGUCCCCCACAUUGGAACUGAGACACGGUCCGAACUCCUACGGGAGGCAGCAGUGAGGAAUAUUGGUCAAUGGACGCAAGUCUGAACCAGCCAAGUCGCGUGAAGGAUGAAGGUUCUAUGGAUUGUAAACUUCUUUUGUCUGAGGGUAAAAAAGCGGACGUGUCCGUUCUUGCAAGUAUCAGACGAAUAAGCAUCGGCUAACUCCGUGCCAGCAGCCGCCGUAAUAC
rnacentral:rRNA from 1 species